rnacentral:rRNA from 1 species
CGGAGAGGGAGCAUGAGAAACGGCUACCACUUCUAAGGAAGGCAGCAGGCGCGCAAAUUACCCAAUCCUGACUCAGGGAGGUAGUGACAAGAAAUAACGAUAAACCGGCUUAUGCCGGUUUAAUUGGAAUGAGUACAAUUUAAACAUCUUAACGAGGAACAAUUGGAGGGCAAGUCUGGUGCCAGCAGCCGCGGUAAUUCCAGCUCCAAUAGCGUAUACUAAAGUUGUUGCAGUUAAAAAGCUCGUAGUUGGAUUUCUGCGGGGACGGAGCGGCCGGACGCAACUUGCGUCUCGAGCUAGCGCUUUCCCCGCAUCCUGCCGCGAACCGUGCUACCAUUAGUUUGGUGGCGCUGGGGAUCGGCUCGAUUACUUUGAGAAAAAUAGAGUGUUCAAAGCAGGCCACACGCCUUGAAUAAGUUAGCAUGGAAUAAUGACUAAGGACUUCGGUUCUAUUUUGUUGGUGUUCGGGACUGAAGUAAUGAUUGAUAGGGACAGUUGGGGCGGUCUGUAUUCCAAAGCGAGAGGUGAAAUUCUUAGACCUUCGGAAGACAAACAGCUGCGAAAGCGUUCCGCAAGGAUGUUCCCUUUGAUCAAGAACGAAAGUUGGGGGAUCGAAGACGAUCAGAUACCGUCGUAGUCUCAACUAUAAACUAUACCAGCUAGGGAUCGGCCAACGUUUAAUUAUUCGACUUGGUCGGCACCUUAUGAGAAAUCAAAGCAUCUGGGUUCCGGGGGGAGUAUGGUCGCAAGGCUGAAACUUAAAGGAAUUGACGGAAGGGCACCACCAGCCGUGGAGCCUGUGGCUUAAUUUGACUCAACACGGGAAAACUUACCAGGUCCAGACAUAGGAAGGAUUGACAGAUUGAUAGCUCUUUCUUGAUUCUGUGGGUGGUGGUGCAUGGCCGUUUUUAGUUGGUGGAGUGAUUUGUCUGCUUAAUUGCGUUAACGAACGAGACCCCAGCCUGCUAAAUAGCGCGGCCGAGCUUUGCUCGGUGCGAGCUUCUUAGAGGGACCAUGAUGCGCGAUAGCACAAGGAAGUUUGGGGCAACAACAGGUCUGUGAUGCCCUUAGAUGUUCUGGGCCGCACACGGGCUACACUGGCGCCUGCAACGAGCAUAUCAGCUGGCCCGAGAGGGUCUUGGCUAAUCUUUUGAACCGGCGCCGUGCUUGGGAUUGACCUUUGCAAUUGUUGGUCAUGCAACGAGGAAUGCCUUGUAAACGCGAGUCAUCAGCUCGCAUUGAAUACGUCCCUGCCCUUUGUACACACCGCCCGUCGCUCCUACCGAUGAAUGUUCCGAUGAAAUUUUCGGAGAGCGCCAGAGAACGGGGCUCUGCCUUGCAGAUCUGGAGGCUCAAAGUCACUUAAAUCUGAACAUUUCGAGGAAGGAGAAGUCGUAACAAGGUAACC